UACGUAGGGUGCAAGCGUUAAUCGGAAUUACUGGGCGUAAAGCGGGCGCAGGCGGUUGUGUAAGUCUGAUGUGAAAUCCCCGGGCUCAACCUGGGAAUUGCACUGGAGACUGCAAGGCUAGAAUCUGGCAGAGGGGGGUAGAAUUCCACGUGUAGCAGUGAAAUGCGUAGAGAUGUGGAGGAACACCGAUGGCGAAGGCAGCCCCCUGGGUCAAGAUUGACGCUCAUGCACGAAAGCGUGGGGAGCAAACAGG
rnacentral:rRNA from 1 species